UAUCCACACAGACGUAAUCGGGGGGUUGUUCUUUCUUCUUCAAUACGUUCAUCAUAUAACUUAUAAAAUAAAACACAAGGAAGGAAAGGGAGUUCUUGAGAGAAUCAGAGAAACAGAGGAAGAGGGAUCGAGGGAGAAUGGGACGCAGAGGGAAGAGGAGAAGAGGGAGAUGGUGGCAGUGGGUACCCUUACCACCGUCACCGUCGUUAUCGCACGAGAGAGAGCGCUUCGCUUUGCAGAGGUGUUGAGUGAGAUAGACGCGAUGCGAGAAAGAGAAGGAGGUGUUGUCUUCGCCGCUGCGUCUCACCGCCGUUGAAGGAGUCACCACCGCUGGAACCCUAGCUGUCGCCGCCGAAGGGAGCUUCGCCAACGCCGUCGCCGAUUCUGUCCGAGACCACCGCUGCCGUCGCUAGGAGGAGUUGAACGAGAGAGCAUUGUACAGUGGUUAUGCCACUGCUAUUAUUGAGCCUCUUCGCCACUGCCGUCGUCGAUUGUCACUGGAGAACGCACUGUUGUCCCUCCGCUGCUAAGAACCAAUGCUGGAGCUACCGUGGGGUUUUAUAGUGCAUACACAUGACUUACAACAUGUGACUCACUUAAAAAAAUGUGGUUUGCGAUUUCUGGCCUAUUUUGGGCACAAUCCAACUCAUUUCUGAAGCUGUUGAAGCAAGAAUUCAUGGGAAAUGAACGAAGUAGUGUUAGUUUUAGGUUUUUAAUCAUGUUUUAAGGAAAUUUUAGAGGGAGAAGCUCCAACUUCUUUCUAGAUUUUUAGGUUUCUUAGUUUAUUUUCUCUCUAGUUUUAGGUUUUAAUUUUGUUUAGUUACAUUUUAUUGUUCUACUACCUUAGUUUAAUAUUUUUUCUCUUGUUAGUCUCUCAAUUUUUGCUAAUUGUAGUUAAUAAACUAUUGUUGAAUUCUAAUUUUUUUUUAAUGCAGUUUGAUAUUUUUUAUA